ACACAGCACACCUCUCUCCUUUUGACUUCUUCGUUUGACCAACUUUCAGCUAGGACUGCUUUGCUAACUCUCAGCUAGCAGAAGCACUGGGAUUAUUCCUAUUUGUAACUAAGUCUGCCUUCAGGAAUCCAACUGUGAACGGAUGUAAGUAAACUUCUUUUAUUGACUUUGAAUAAGAUUGUGGCGUCUUUAUUCUUUUAAGAGGGAUUUAAAGGGAACUUGCCAGGAACUAUACAAUUCAAUCUGAGACAGACUGAAUUGUAUAAUAGUGAGAGGCUCACACGAGCCUGCAACCAGCUGUCUGCUGUGCAUGUAAAAGGGGAAUGUAAACUCUGCUAAGUAAAGGAAGGUGCUAGCGCAAGUUAGGAAGGAUAUUAAUAAACAAUAUAUCCUCUCCUGCCAUCCUGGACAUUCCCACAGGAAUGGACUUCCUUGUCAUUUGAAUCCAUUGGUUUGGGUGCUUCAGAUCUUCCAAGACAGCUGUCAUAUGGUCAUGCGGUUAAGGCAGCACCGUUUGCCUUCGCUAUGAAUUGCCAGUUGGAAAUAGUCAUGGAAAACAGAACGUGUGUCAUUUAAUCUCUCACACACUCCAUGAACCCUGAUAGGCUGGGAUUCCUUCCACUGAACAGGAUGACUCGCUUUUAUGUCUUAAUGGCAGAACCAUCCUGCCUUAGGGGUGCCAUGGGAGAAGCACAUACAGCUUCUUGCUGUCUAUUGCAUCUCCAUUUUACUGCUACUCUUGCUGUUAACAUCAGGCAGUCCCCCUUGUUAUACUGUUUUAAUUUUUUUUAAAAAUUAAUUUUAAAUAUGUUUCCACCUUCCAGAACAGAAUGUCACAAUACAUCUGAAUACAUUGAUUAGAAACACAAAGAAAACCAGGGAGAAGCACAAUAUACGUCUGUCAUACGAACAUCCUAUUACUAUAUUGAAAGAAAACAAGAAGAUAAAUUGUAAAUGAUAUUGAAGUUUAAUAAAGCUAUUCAUUUUCGCAGCUUGAA